rnacentral:rRNA from 1 species
UACGGGGGGGGCAAGCGUUGUUCGGAAUUACUGGGCGUAAAGGGCGUGUAGGUGGCCAACUAAGUCCGACGUGAAAUCCCCAGGCUUAACCUGGGAACUGCGUCGGAUACUGGAUGGCUUGAAUUCGGGAGAGGGAUGCAGAAUUCCAGGUGUAGCGGUGAAAUGCGUAGAUAUCUGGAGGAACACCGGUGGCGAAGGCGGCAUCCUGGACCGGCAUUGACGCUGAGGAGCGAAAGCCAGGGGAGCAAACGGG